UUGUGGCUGGGGCUGAGGCUCGGGUACCGGGCCGAAGUCGCGCGGGCGGGGCACGAACGCCAGGCGGCUGUCGGAUGGCGCGGUUCUGGAGCCUUGCGUUUGCGCAGCGUCGCGGCCGAGGCCGGCCCAGGGGACCCCGGAGCCCGGGGAGGAAAUCAGACAGUAAAGCUAUGAAGUGAAAACAGAGAACCUGUAAUCCCAGCUACCAGGCAGGCUGAGACAGGAAGAUGGUGACAACAUACAGAGACCCCAUCUCAGAAGAAAAGCAGCCCUCUGAUUCACGCGUAUAUACGUAUAAUCAGUUCUGCCACUCAGAAAGCAGUCACUGCCCUUUACAUUUCAGAGAGCAUGUACAUUUUUUUAUCAUAACAAAUAACACUGAGAGAGAGGUCAUCCAGAGAGAAGCACUGUUAUUCCCAACUUAUGAAUGUGAAGACAAAUGUUGGCUGAAUGACUCAACAAAUACCUAA
rnacentral:lncRNA from 1 species